CACGUAGGCGGCAUAGCAAGUUAAGGGUGAAAUCCCGGGGCUCAACUCCGGAACUGCUCUUAAAACUGCUAAGCUAGAGAUAGUCAGAGGCGGGUGGAAUUCCUGGUGUAGAGGUGAAAUUCGUAGAUAUCAGGAGGAACACCGGUGGCGAAGGCGGCCCGCACCUGACGCUAAGACGCGAAAGCGUGGGUAGCGAACA
rnacentral:rRNA from 1 species